GGCUCAGAUUGAACGCUGGCGGCAUGCCUUACACAUGCAAGUCGAACGGCAGCACGGGGCAACCUGGUGGCGAGUGGCGAACGGGUGAGUAAUGCAUCGGAACGUGCCAUUGAGUGGGGAUAACGUAGCGAAAGUUGCGCUAAUACCGCAUAUUCUGUGAGCAGGAAAGCAGGGGACCGCAAGGCCCUGCGCUCUUUGAGCGGCCGAUGUCAGAUUAGCUAGUUGGUGAGGUAACGGCUUACCAAGGCGACGAUCUGUAGCGGGUCUGAGAGGAUGAUCCGCCACACUGGAACUGAGACACGGUCCAGACUCCUACGGGAGGCAGCAGUGGGGAAUUUUGGACAAUGGGCGCAAGCCUGAUCCAGCCAUGCCGCGUGAGUGAAGAAGGCCUUCGGGUUGUAAAGCUCUUUCGGCCGGGAAGAAAUCGCAUGGGUUAAUACCCUGUGUGGAUGACGGUACCGGAAUAAGAAGCACCGGCUAACUACGUG
rnacentral:rRNA from 1 species